CCAGAGAUUAAUUUCAUAAUCUUAAGAUUAAAUUUUUACAUUUGCUUUUUUUUUCUUUCUGCUGUUGCUUCUCAUGAAAUCUCUUUGUCCCUGGAUUCACUACCAGCAUGUAGGAUCCUCAUGUAGCACAUUUCUCUUCAUUUGAGUAAAUGCAUCUUCUGAUAUAUGUACUUACUAUAGAAAAUUGAAACAAGAUUCACAAAGACUUAUGGCAAGAGUAGCCACAUUAAAUAUUUAAGGGUACAGGAAAAUAAUGUAACAAUGUAACAGUUUUGGGAGCUCAGAGAAUUCACUCAGGACAUAAGGCAGUCGAAUUUCUUUUUAUGCUCUGUCCAACAAAAAUAUUAUAUGCCAUAUUCAAAACACGUACAACCAGAUUUACACCACUGAAAAUCAUGGUAUCCAGUGUAAGACAUACAGACUUGAAGAAAUUGAAACUGAGUUACUCACUGGAAGCCAGAAAGAAAGAGAGAAACUAAUCCCAAAUAAAUAGUACAAAUUUUAUCUUA